UAAUACCGAGGGUCCAAGCGUUAUCCGGAUUUAUUGGGUUUAAAGGGUCCGUAGGCGGGUUAAUAAGUCAGUGGUGAAAUCCUACAGCUCAACUGUAGAACUGCCAUUGAAACUGUUAACCUUGAAUAUAAUUGAAGUAGGCGGAAUGUGUCAUGUAGCGGUGAAAUGCUUAGAUAUGCCACAGAACACCGAUUGCGAAGGCAGCUUACUAAGUUAUUAUUGACGCUGAGGGACGAAAGCGUGGGUAGCGAACAGGAUUAGAUACCCUGGUAGUCCACGCCGUAAACGAUGUAUACUCGUUGCUAGCGAUACACAGUUAGUGACCAAGCGAAAGUAUUAAGUAUACCACCUGGGGAGUACGAUCGCAAGAUUG
rnacentral:rRNA from 1 species